rnacentral:rRNA from 1 species
ACAUUGCCAGUAAACAGAGUUCGAUUAUGGCUCAGAUUGAACGCUGGUGGAUGCUGACACAUGCAAGUCGAACGGCAGCACGGACUUCGGUCUGGUGGCGAGUGGCGAACGGGUGAGUAAUGUAUCGGAACGUGCCUAGUAGCGGGGAGAACUACGCGAAAGCGUAGCUAAUACCGUGCGCAUUCCUUCGGGGGAAAGCGGGGGACCUCGGGCCUCGCACUAUUAGGAGCGGCCGAUGAUCGACAGCGAAGGUGGGUAACGGCUCACCAAGGCGACGAUCCGUAGCUGGUUUGAGAGGACGGACGCAGCCACACUGGGACUGGACACGGCCCAGACUCCUACGGGAGGCAGCAGUGGGGAAUUUUGGACAAUGGGGGAAACCCUGAUCCAGCCAUCUCGCGUGCGUGCGAUGAAGGCCUUCGGGUUGUAAAGCACUUUGGUAGGAUAAAGAAACGGCACGGGAUAAUAAUUCCGUGCAACUGACGGUAUUCUGCAGAAUAAGCACCGGCUAACUACGUGCCAGCAGCCGCGGUAAUGUACGUAGGGUGCAAGCGUUAAUCGGAAUUACUGGGCGUAAAGCGUGCGCAGGCGGUCUGGAAAGAAAGAUGUGAAAUCCUGAGCUUAACUUGAAUCAGCUUUAAUCAUCGAGCUGAAAAACAGGGAGGUGAAUUCGCGUGUAGCAGUGAAAUGCGUAGAUAUGCGGAGGAACACCGAUGGCGAAGGCAGCCUCCUGGGAUAACACUGACGCUCAUGCACGAAAGCGUGGGGAGCAAACAGGAUUAGAUACCCUGGUAGUCCACGCCUCAAACGAUGUCAACUAGCUGUUGGGGCCUUCGGCCUCGGUGGCGCAGCUAACGGUGAAGUUGACCGCCUGGGGAGUACGGUCGCAAGAUUAAAACUAAAGGAAUUGAUUAGACUCCGCACAAGCGGUGGAGCAGAUGUGGAUUGACCUGAUGCAACGCGAAAACCUUACCUACCCUGAUGUCUGGAAUCCCGAAGAGAUUUGGGAGGCCUGUGGCAGAGAAUCAACACAAUGGCUGCCACUGGCUUCGUCGUGAGAUGUUGGCUGAAACCCGCAAUGAGCGUCCCGCUGUUGUUGCUACAGUGGUGUUCACUGAGAUCGCUGCAGCGCAGCCCGGAGAUGGGAUGAUGGAACCUCAUAACUUUAUAUAUGGUCGCACGCUCAUAGCAAUGGUCGGGAAGAGGGUCGCUGUCCGGUGAGGUUUUAUCCCAGGAAACCUGAUCGUAUCCGGAUCGCAGUUCCGCACCUGACCGUGAAGUCGAAUCGCUGGCAACGUUAGAUCGCGACGUCGCAGAAUAGCGUUCCCGGCUCCAGCAAACACUGUCACGUCGCCGGAUGGGUUACUAUAGGUUAACGAAUUAAUCCAGCAGGAGGUUGAGCACACUGCAGGAUCACAUCAGUAGUCAACAAGGUAG